GACGAACGCUGGCGGCGUGCUUAACACAUGCAGGUCGUACGGUAAGGCCCUUUCGGGGGUACACGAGUGGCGAACGGGUGAGUAACACGUGAGUAACCUGCCCACAACUUUGGGAUAACGCUAGGAAACUGGUGCUAAUACUGGAUAUGUGCUCCUGCUGCAUGGUGGGGGUUGGAAAGCUCCGGCGGUUGUGGAUGGACUCGCGGCCUAUCAGCUUGUUGGUGGGGUAGUGGCCUACCAAGGCGGCGACGGGUAGCCGGCCUGAGAGGGUGACCGGCCACAUUGGGACUGAGAUACGGCCCAGACUCCUACGGGAGGCAGCCGUGGGGAAUAUUGCACAAUGGGCGCAAGCCUGAUGCAGCAACGCCGCGUGCGGGAUGACGGCCUUCGGGUUGUAAACCGCUUUCAGCAGGGACGAAGCUUUUUGUGACGGUACCUGCAGAAGAAGCACCGGCUAACUACGUG
rnacentral:rRNA from 1 species